rnacentral:lncRNA from 1 species
CAUGUUUUGGUAACCAUUGUAAUUGGUGAGAGGGUGAGAGUUGCAGUAAUUAUGCAAUAGUUACACCCAAAAUCCAAAUUUUUAAAAAAAAUAUUUUUUAUACACAUUAUAAAAUUAUAUUAUAAACAUGACAGGUGAUGCGGUCGUUGAAAGCACCAAAAAUAUCCUAUCCCUAAUAAAUAAUGAAAAAGAAUAGUAAAAGGGAAGUAGGGUCAAAUCCUCAGGGACUGGAUUUACACAAUAUCUUAUUCCGUGAAAUCCCGAUAGAAUCUUGCCCAAGAAAACCUGCGUGCCUGGAAAAAAAAUAAAAAUAACAGAAUUAAAGGUUUGGAUCUAAAAAUGAAAAAUAAAAUAAAAAUAGAAUUAAGAAUAUUGAAUCGAAAAUUUGAGAAAUUAAAAAUAGAGUUGAGAGAAAGGAAAUUCUUAUGGGAGAUUCCAGCCUCCAGUUGUCUCGUUCCGCCUUGGUUCAAUCCUCGACUUUUAGAUGAUCCUUCCCAAACCGAAUAAGCCAGUUAUAGUGGAAGGGGACGCUUACAACCACCAGCUCCAAGGAUUUAGACUUACGAUUUAGUGGAACCUAACUCUAGCCAACAAUUGCUUCUAUGGGAUCGUUUUAGGCUAGAUCAACGCUUCUCAAUGGUGAAUCCCACGCCAUUUUGUCUCUUGGGCUCGUCAACUUCUGACACAGUAAGCUAACAGACCGACUGUGCAACCUUCCCAAAACAUACAAAGCGGCCACCUUUGCAUACGUUGAAAAGCUUACUUCUUAAGGGACAUGGACGAAAGCG